CCUCAUCCCUCCAACAGAAGAAAGAAACUGAGCCAUAUUUAAGCAGAUUUUUUGUCAUGACAAAAACAGUACAAAAAUACUAACUCUCUGUGCAUUUAUAUUUUUAAUCCCCAAUCUGCUCCACUUCCUCCCACUCCUGUGGACGCCACCAGGAUCCAUCCGGACAACGAAGACCUCUCUCCCGACACUUCUGACAAGAAGAAGAAAAAGAAGAAGAACGGCUUCAAACGUUUCCUGUCCUGGAUGAAGAAGGCCAUUUGCCCUUGCUGCAACGUGAAGAACGUGCAGGACUGACAGUUUCUACAGAGGUUUAGUAGCAAAAGACCUGAGAGGUGACCUCUCAAGUGUUCUGCUACAAAAGCAUUUGUAGUUGUCCUUACAGGCAGCAUGGUGGCAUUGUUGGUGUUUGUGUGAGUUUUCUCCGGUUGAUCCAGUUUCUCCCACUGGCCAAACACAUGCCUGUCAGAUUGGUUGGAGACUAAAUUGACGCUUAAAUGUUAUGCGUACGUUUAGUCCGGGUGAUCCGGUUUCUCCCCACUGGCCAAACACAUGCCUUUGAGAUUGAUUGGAGACUUAAUUGACGCUGAUAUCUCAUGCGUGGGUUUUUACUGGGUGAUCCGGUUUCCUCCUACUUAAAGGGACUGUUUGUAAGAAUCAGAAAUGCUUGUUAACAGCGACACCUGUGGCCGUUAAGUCAACGACCGGUUGUAACUGUAAAAUUAAAUAAAUAUAUCUACUCUUUAUCAUAUUACA